rnacentral:lncRNA from 1 species
UUUUGUCCUAAAAAUAAAAUUAGGACAAUACGCCCACUCCCCUUUAUUAGACUCCCACUCUCAAUACAAUUAGGGCAACACGCCCACUUUCUCUCCUCUCUAUCAGACAGACUCCCACUCUCAAUACUCUUCAAUAAUGUGAAUUUUUUGCUGCAGAACUUUGAAAUUCGAAGUCGUGUGUUGCUGCUCCGCAAGAUUCUCAGGUGAAAGGGUAAGCUUCUUUGUGAUUUCAUUCCUGACAUUAUCGGUUAGUCGAAGGUCUUUGCGUAAAAAGAGGUGUCGUCUUGCCUACUAAAAGAUAUUCUGGUCAUUUCAUCUUCUUUGUUUCUCUGUGUGGUGUUCUUCUUCAUCUUCUAUCAAGUGACUGAGUAGGUAAUGAAUUUAUUUUCACUGUAAUCUAUGAGAUUGUUCUGAAUUAUUUAAGCUCUUCCUUGCAUUGAUACCAAUUUUGCUACUCCUUUUUAUUUAUCCUUUAAUCGAAUGUAUCUGUACUGCACCUUCUCCUUCAAAGUUGGUUUUUAUGGAUCUCGGUGGUGUUUUUUUUGGGGCAUCCCAGGAUUAUCAUAUUGAAGUAUUUGCUUAAAUGUCUUCUUCGUACUUGGUUGGUAAUUGUUGCGCUCCCCAUGCAUCGGUAGUUGAAGGUUUUGUUUUUCAAUUUUCUCAAUUUUAGUUCCAAGUUGUAUGUAGUGUGCGCUUUAUUUUGUUCAAUUUUGGUAAUUGUUUCUCCAUUCUUGCUUUCAUUCAAUGUAAUUUGUUAUUGCUACUGUAGUUUUGGUGUUGGUGGGUAUCGGCUACAAGCUAUGUUCUUUUGGAAAGUGUGCUAUUGGAUUUUUACAUACAUGUCAGCAACUUUAUCCAAUUUGCUCGAUGUUGUACGGAUGGUGUUUGAUAAUAUGCUUGUAUGAACUGCCUUUGCACUGCAUGGAAGAAGCUAUUUGUAAUCUUUUCCUAUUUCUAAUAGUCAUGUGAAUGGUGAUUUAGUGAAGCAUCUCCAAAUUAUAUUUUCAGUUCUGCUUUGAUUAAGCAUUUUUUUGUGGUACCAAGAGCAGAACUUUUUCCGUUUGUCUUCACGCUUAUUUCAGAAGAAGUUGUUUUCUUCUCAAAUCUAUGGGUAUCUCCCAAGAUUAGUUCUUUACGAGGUUUUAAGUUGUUUUAUUGAAGUAAAUUUCAAAAGGAACUCUUAAUUUGAGGUGUUUUCUUUAUUUGGCUCUAAUGUAUUUUUCUUCUGAAUGUUGUUAUCAUUUCUAUGAUCUUUUGUUGAUGGUAUCCGUUUAUUUUCUUUAUCUUGUUGAUCUACAUGAAAUUGUUAGCUAUGUUAAGUUUCCUAGUUAACAUCGUUGAUUAAGCAUUUUUAUGAACUUCUUAAUUUUUCAAAGAAGUUUGACCAUAUCAUGUAUGCUUUUCUUUGCAUGUAGAUCAGUUUGACCUUGAACAUAUCAGCAGAUUUACAAUCAUUGUAGAUCAGUUUGGCCAUAUGAAUGUCUGGAUCUCUGGGUGUGUAUUCAUCUUAUGUUUCACUAAUCUAAUCUCUAGGACAUAAUAUAUGUACAUUUGUCAUCCCUGGUCUAAUAUCAUUGAAGUUUGCUAGAGUGUAGAGGAGAGGUGGUCAUAUGGAUGUUGAUGCCACAACUAACACUCUGAAUUUUAGGACGUGGAAAUUGGAAACAGAAUGUAAUACAUAUAUUUACCAGGCUAUUGGUUACCUAUAGCAAUAUCAGAUAGUAAAUUCUAUACCUUCUUGUACAACUUGAUGAACUUUGGCCAAUAGUUAAUUACUGAAAUAAAACAAUUUUAUGCAUUAUAUAACUUUACAACAGAAAUCUCACGAUUUUUCCAUUGCCAACAGA